UUAUGAAAGGGACGAGGCAAAGAGAUCCUAAGUGAAGGUGCUUGCUGCAAAGCCUAGAAGCUUGAGUUGGAGCCUUGAGACCCACAUGGAGAAGAGGGCCAAUUUUCUCAAUUUGUCCUCUGAGUUCCAUGUUCAUGCUGGGGCACCAUGCUAGUGGCUGAGAUGUACCAUUGGACAGGACACUCUGCAUGCUCACAUUGCCCACAGCUUCCUUCAAAGCAAGCUGCCAGCUCC
rnacentral:lncRNA from 1 species